UUUCUGUUGGGAUACCCAGAGGUGAUGAUCGUUUUUCUAGCUGAGGCUUUGCAAUGAGUCUUAAAGCACAGUUGAACUGGUAGAAAUGGGCAGUAUCUGCACUUGGUUGUCCUACAUUUCCCUGCUGGUCAGAGUCGAGGUCCUGUGCAUCCGUUCUGUGACUGUCAGUGGCUGCCGUCGACGUUAGGAGGACAAAGCACUUGUUUCUUUUGGGCCAGAGAGCUCCCCAGCUGCAGCCCGUGGGGUUGUGAACUGAUGUCCUGAUGCAGUGAUGCUCUGAAGGCUUAAACCUAAAGCUUCUUCCUUCCUUCUUUCCUCCCCUCCUUUACAAACCUCAACGUUCAGCGCGUUUCAAAAGCUUUGGUAUUCUCCUUUCUUGGACAAUUGCUAUCUAAAGCCUGGAGUUACUAUGUCAACUCUUGAGUUUUAUUUAUGUAUGUUCUCAUUUGGACUUUAAUCUUCAUGAAAACGUGGGAGGGAGCAGGAUAAUGGAGUGGUUUGGACCAAAGGUGCUGCCAGGGGCGGUGGUUGGGCUCAGUGCAUCCUCACUUGGAAUCAGCAGGGACGAUACGACAUGGGUGUGAAAAGCAGCAGCUCUGCAGCACAGCUCCACAACCCCCUCCUGCUUUGUUGUACUGUGCCAAAGCUGGGGAGGGGGUGGUGCUUCUUGCUGAGGUGAAUCCUGAUAGGAUUCUGGGAUGGGUUGAUGGGAUUCCUCUGCAGGAAACUGGUGAAGGAAGGAUUGGUUUAAGUGCCUCUCUGGUCCAAGAAUCGCUUCUCCGAGCUGCUGGAUCAUCUGGGAAGUGGUGGCUGCUUGGCCUUGUUUCCAAGCACUGUCGCAGCACCGACUCCUAGGGGAGCAUCCUCCUUGGAAGCUGGAGAUCGUGGAAGCUGGUACUGCUGCGGGACCAACCACGCUGCUGCUGCCUGGGAAUGGCCCGGGAAUCCUCCCUCAGCCCCUGCCCCACCGCCAAGGCGUGAGCUCCGGGUCCAUGUAGGAACUGGAGCCAGGACAGGGGGUUUGAAUCUCACUUUGGGACCCCCAAGCCAAUAUCUGAGAUGGGGGUCUCUGCCCCCCCAGUGCUCCCUUUCCCUGGCAAGUAGAUUUUCACUUAUUUCCUUAAGUUUUGGAAGAACUUCUCUCUCCUCCUGCUCUCAUGUCUGAAGCUGUCGGCGCCCUCCAGCAUUUGCUGCAGCCACUUGUUGGAGUCGAUUGUAAAUACUUCGGAAGAAAACCCUUGCGUGCUUGGAUAAUCCACUGUGACGUCUUAGUUCCUAGAGGGAGGAAAAAGGUUGGGAAACCAAACUUCAGGAAAGAGCUGGUGAAGCUCGGGAAGGGUUCACCCAAUCCCUUCUCCUGCUGAAGGACUUCCUUAUGGCGAAGGGGCUGCAGCGAGGAAGAGCUCGAGAGCCGGGUGAGGAAGGCUCUGUCCCCGGAGGUGGGGGUCGAUGUCCACCAUGCUUUGUGUAAAUAUUUUAUUCUCCCAUUUUAUAUUUGUAUUGUAUUUAAGGCAUUGUAUGAGCCAGCACCUCCACCCCCCAGUCGGACUGUUCCACGCAACAGCAGUUACCAGUGUUUUUAAUAAACCUGCCAUAGGAGCCGUG
ensembl:lncRNA